AACGAACGCUGGCGGCAGGCCUGACACAUGCAAGUCGAGCGAGGACUCCGGUUCUAGCGGCGGACGGGUGUGUCACGCGAGGGAAUGUGCACUUCUCUACGGCAUAGCCAUGGGACACUGGGAGCAAUACCGAACACGACCUAAUGGGGAAUGAUAUAUCGGAGCAGGAUCAGCCCGCGUUGGAUUAGGUAGUUGGUGUGGUAAUGGCCUAAUACGCCGCCGAUCCAUAGCUGGUUUGUGAGAAUGCUCAGCGACUCUGGGACUGGGACCCGGCCGAGACUCCUACGGGAUGCAGGAGUGCGUAAUGUUAGACAAUGGCGGCAACCCUGAACUUCCCAUGCCGCGUGAGUGAUGAAAGCCGUAGGGUUGUAAAGCGCUUGCAGCUGGGAAGAUAAUGACGGUACCAGCAGAAGAAGCCCCGGCUAACUCCGUG
rnacentral:rRNA from 1 species